rnacentral:rRNA from 1 species
AAAUGGCCGCGGUAAAUUAACUGUGCAAAGGUAGCAUAAUCAUUAGUUUUUUAAUAGGAGGCUUGUAUGAAUGAAUGGACAAGAAUUAAACUGUCUUUAUUGUAAGAAAUUUAAUUUUACUUUUAAGUGAAAAGGCUUAAAUAUUUUUAAGGGACGAUAAGACCCUAUAAAUCUUUAUAAGGGUUGGUUUAAUUGAAUGGUUAAAAGUUAAAUUUUUGGUUAAAUGAAUUUUUAUUGUACUGGGGCGGUAGAGAUAUAAAAGAUAAACUGUUUUUAUAUUAUUACAAAUUUAUUUGUUUAGUAGUAGAUCUAUAAUAAUAAUGAAGAGUUUAAGUUACUUUAGGGAUAACAGCAUAAUUUCUUUUGAGAGUUCUAAUCGAAAAAGAGUUUUGUGACCUCGAUGUUGAAUUAAAAUUUCUGUGUGGUGUAGUAGUUACAAGGGAGUAGUCUGUUCGACUAGUAAAUUUUUACGUGAUCUGAG